AGUGAACGCUGGCGGUAGGCCUAACACAUGCAAGUCGAACGGCAGCACAGUAAGAGCUUGCUCUUACGGGUGGCGAGUGGCGGACGGGUGAGGAAUACAUCGGAAUCUACUUUUUCGUGGGGGAUAACGUAGGGAAACUUACGCUAAUACCGCAUACGACCUACGGGUGAAAGCAGGGGAUCUUCGGACCUUGCGCGAUUGAAUGAGCCGAUGUCGGAUUAGCUAGUUGGCGGGGUAAAGGCCCACCAAGGCGACGAUCCGUAGCUGGUCUGAGAGGAUGAUCCGCCACACUGGAACUGAGACACGGUCCAGACUCCUACGGGAGGCAGCAGUGGGGAAUAUUGGACAAUGGGCGCAAGCCUGAUCCAGCCAUACCGCGUGGGUGAAGAAGGCCUUCGGGUUGUAAAGCCCUUUUGUUGGGAAAGAAAAGCAGCAGGUUAAUACCCCGCUGUUCUGGCGGUACCCAAAGAAUAAGCACCGGCUAACUUCGUG
rnacentral:rRNA from 1 species